rnacentral:rRNA from 1 species
CCUACGGGUGGCAGCAGUGGGGAAUAUUGGACAAUGGGGGAAACCCUGAUCCAGCGACGCCGCGUGAGUGAAGAAGUAUUUCGGUACGUAAAGCUCUAUCAGCAGGAAAGAAAAUGACGGUACCUGACUAAGAAGCCUCGGCUAACUACGUGCCAAGAGCCGCGGUAAUACGUAGGGGGCAAGCGUUAUCCGGAUUUACUGGGUGGAAAGGGAGCGUAGACGGCAGCGCAAGUCUGGAGUGAAAUGCCGGGGCCAAACCCCGGAACUGCACUGGAAACUGUGAAGCUGGAGUGCAGGAGAGGGAGGCGGAAUUCCUGGUGUAGCGGUGAAAUGCGUAGAUAUCAGGAGGAACACCGGCGGCGAAGGCGGCUUGCUGGACUGUGACUGACGUUGAGGCGCGAAGGCGUGGGGAGCAAACAGGAUUAGAUACCCUUGUAGUC